GACGAACGCUGGCGGCGUGCUUAACACAUGCAAGUCGAACGAAGUGGGGAACGGGUGAGUAACGCGUAAUCAACCUGCCCUUCAGAGGGGGACACCAGUUGGAAAGGACUGUUAUUACCGCAUAUUGAAGAAGGGGAUUGGGUCGGAUUAGCUAGUUGGAGGGGAAACGGCCCACCAAGGCGAGGAUCAGUAGCCGGUCUGAGAGGAUGAACGGCCACAAUGGGACUGAGACACGGCCCAGACUCCUACGGGAGGCAGCAGUGGGGAAUCUUCCGCAAUGGACGAAAGUCUGACGGAGCAACGCCGCGUGAGUGAUGACGGCCUUCGGGUUGUAAAGCUCUGUUAAUCGGGACGCGGUACCGGAAUAGAAAGCCACGGCUAACUACGUGCCAGCAGCCGCGGUAAUAC
rnacentral:rRNA from 1 species